rnacentral:rRNA from 1 species
GAUGAACGCUGGCGGCGUGCCUAAUACAUGCAAGUCGAGCGAACGGACGAGAAGCUUGCUUCUCUGAUGUUAGCGGCGGACGGGUGAGUAAUACGUGGAUAACCUACCUAUAAGACUGGGAUAACUUCGGGAAACCGGAUCUAAUACCGGACGAUAUUUUGAACCGCAUGGUUCAAAAGUGAAAGACGGUCUUGCUGUCACUUAUAGAUGGAUCCGCGCUGCAUUAGCUAGUUGGUAAGGUAACGGCUUACCAAGGCAACGAUGCAUAGCCGACCUGAGAGGGUGAUCGGCCACACUGGAACUGAGACACGGUCCAGACUCCUACGGGAGGCAGCAGUAGGGAAUCUUCCGCAAUGGGCGAAAGCCUGACGGAGCAACGCCGCGUGAGUGAUGAAGGUCUUCGGAUCGUAAAACUCUGUUAUUAGGGAAGAACAUAUGUGUAAGUAACUGUGCACAUCUUGACGGUACCUAAUCAGAAGGCCACGGCUAACUACGUG